rnacentral:tRNA from 1 species
GGCUCAGUUGGUAGAGCAUGGUGUGUGCAACACCAGGGUUGUGGGUUCGAUUCCCAU